rnacentral:rRNA from 1 species
GUCGAGAAUCAUUCACAAUGGGGGAAACCCUGAUGGUGUGACGCCGCGUGGAGGAUGAAGGUCUUCGGAUUGUAAACUCCUGUCAUGUGGGAGUAAAGCCGGGUGUUAAAUGCAUGCCGGUCUGAGAGUACCACAAGAGGAAGGGACGGCUAACUCUGUGCCAGCAGCCGCGGUAAUACAGAGGUCCCAAGCGUUGUUCGGAAUCACUGGGCGUAAAGGGUGCGUAGGCGGCGCGGAAAGUCAGGGGUGAAAUCCCGGAGCUCAACUCCGGAACUGCCUUUGAUACUCCCGCGCUUGAGAACUGGAGGGGAGACCGGAAUUCACGGUGGAGCAGUGAAAUGCGUGGAUAUCGUGAGGAACACUAGUGGCGAAGGCGGGUCUCUGGACAGUAUCUGACGCUGAGGCACGAAGGCCAGGGGAGCGAACGGGAUUAGAAACCCUUGUAGUCC